rnacentral:misc_RNA from 1 species
UAGAGUUGUAGGCUUUGCCUGCUAUCUCUUACCCAUGUCUUUUGAGUACUUACGUUUCCUCGGCGGGUCCGCCCGCCGAUUGGACAAUUUAAACCAUUUGCAGUUGCAAUCAGCGUCUGAAAAACUUUAAUAGUUACAACUUUCAACAACGGAUCUCUUGGUUCU